rnacentral:lncRNA from 1 species
CUAGCAUCCAGGUGAUUAUCAGGCAGGUGAGGAAGACCACCCUCGGAGCCUACCCUAAUCCCACCGUGUGCUGGGCAGGCAGUAGGGUCAGGCUUUGAGGGGCAUGGACCCCGGGGCUACCGGUUUUGGGCGAUCAGUUAGAGCCGAGCCGGGGCUGCAGCUGGGAGCGGACCAAGCUGGGGGAGGCACAGGGCGGUAAUAAGAAACAACAGGAUGUUCUGCUUUUAUUAGCCCUGGGGCUGCGCAGCUGCAGGUGAGUAAUCAGAUUUCUGCGGCGUCCUGUUUUCUCCGCUGCCUGGCGGUUCCUCGACACCCACUCACCUGCCACCAGCCACUGGAGGGAGGGCAGGCAGAAGGGAGGAUGGGCGUGGGGACCGCCUGGGUCCUUCGCCCACGCCCACGCCAGCACACCCGCGGAGAACAGUGCACCUGCUGCGCUCGCUGCGGGACGCUCCGCUUUCACUGCUCUUUAGGGAGGGGCCGCCCACUCGCAGACAGCCCCAUCCCCACCCCGUCUCGAGCGGGACCCGAGGAUCGCAAGGUGCCACCCUCUCAACCUGUGCGCCUGGCUUCUGGCGCUGCAAUUGCGGCCUCUAGAACAGGACAUUUCCCUGUGUCCGGCUGGUGAUGAUGUCCCAGGAACCCAGGCAUCAGGAGGAAGAGGAGACUCAGCCUUCAACACGUGCUCCAGCCGAAAAUCCCAGGGCGUGGGAUUCUGAUUGGCCUAACUUGUAUCACAUGUCCAGACCCACGCGAAGGAAAAUGAUUCGGUUUUGUGAUUGGCCUGUCUGUUCUGAUCAGAGGGUGGGGCUUCAGAGUGGAUGCCAGCCCAGCUCACCCCAAAGAAAGGAACUGAGAGGGAGCUGGGGACACCUGUCAGGUAGAAGGAUUAAAUUCUUGCUCCAAAUGUACAUGCUUGUAACCCUAGAGAUUGCACACGUGUGAGACCAACCUGGAACCAUAC